AAAUGUGCGACGGACCGUCGCGCACACCGUCGCACUUAACCUUUGCAUAGCUGGUCGGGUCGAAUCGCUUUAAAUAACUGAUUUUUAAUUCCUAUCCAUUUCCAAACAUUUUUAAACUGAUAAGUUGAGGCAGUUAAGUAAAUCCCAACGUUUAAAAACACUUGUGCCCUUUCAUUCCCCCUCACAGCUCUUCAUUUUCCCAUCUUCCUAUCUAUUUAAAGGCCAUUCACCUCUCUCAUUUUUCCUCACGAGACACAAAUAUUUAUCUGUUAUUUGAAGUUCAUUGUGUAAAGUCUGAGUAGUGCAUUCAUACUACAACAAGAAGGUACAUAUUUCCUUUCUCUAUCUAUGAUUCUUAAACAUGUGAGCAAAUCAAAAUGAGUGAAGUCAAGAGAACAAAUGUUGUUUCUUUUUAUUUUGUUGGGUGAUUGUUGUUUAUGAUUUUCUUCUAGUCCAAAUUUAGCAUACACUGGGAGAAGUCUGAGUAACCCAUGGACAAAAAAUGACAACUUAGGGUGUUGAAUUAGCGAUUAAAAUGCGAUGAAAAUCGCCCUUAUAUGAUAUGCACAGAAGAUGUUCGAUAAAAUGCCUCAAAGAGGUUUCAAGUUACCAUAUGCAAGCAACGGUACAUGCAACGGAACUUUGGAGUCCAGACGGACCGUCGCAUGACACUGUCUUACCUAUGUCAAAAACUGAUUCACAGAAAUCUACCCGACAGUAGGGAUCGAUGAGCCGUCGCAUGCCUGAUGGAUCGUCGCGCCCCACCUUCACACAUUUCUCAGAACAUGAGUUACCAGAAUACUCCGACGGUAGAGGUACUACGGCACCUAAAAUACCACCAUCUAGGGGCAGAGGUAGAAGCCAACAAGCCGGGCAAGCGCAAAGUUCUGAUGCGCUGGCUCGAAACACUAGGCAAAAUCGUCAACCGGUGGUUUCUUCAUCCUCCUCAUCUGACGAGGUAGUUGAAAGCAGCAGUAGCACCUCUAUGUCAGUACCGCCGGAGGUAGCAGUCAAAACUUCUAACCCUAUUCCAGAAGAAGUGCCUCAACAAGAGGAUCCGAAAGACAUUCGUUGAAAGGAUCAGCAGCUUAGGGAAGCCAUAAGAUGGCAAGUAGCGGGUGCUCGUAACAUCUUCUACGAAGGACUGGAACCUACUUCAGAUAGGCUAUUUUCGAGGAACACCAGAUUAUCAGAACAACCUUGCAUGAAUAUCCAGAGCUUGAGCGUCGUUUCAAUGCAUAUGGGUUGGAUUGGAUAAGUAGGCCACUGGGAUCGUACCAACCUAUCUUGGUGCAGGAAUUCUUCCAUAAUUAUCUGGCACUACUAGAAAAGGAUUUACCCAAGGUUGCAACGGCUGCAGAUAGGGAUAAGGUUAAUGUAGUCCCAGUGAGAGGAGUCGACAUUGAUAUCUCGGAAAGAACGCUUAACAGGUUUUUAUUUGGCCCAGAAUAUCAGAUACCAGGGGCUAUCCCAGAGUUCGAGCAUCGUUUAUUCACAUGAGCUGAAUAAAGGCGAUGGCUAGCCAGGAUUCUGACAGAUGGAGGUAACCCUCCAUGGUUGCUUGACCCACGUGAGAGAAUCUCAAAGAAAUCACUGAGUUUCAGGGCAAAAUUCUGUUGGACUAUUGUGCGACUUAGGCUUAUGCCCACAGGUGGUGAUGAUCGUCUUGAGAUAACCCAAGCUGUGAUAUUUGUUGAAUUGAUCUAAGGGUUGAGCGUAGAUUUUGGUCACAUCAUCUUCGAUGAAUUAUUCUUCCGCGCCCGUAAGACUCACACUGCCUUGCCAUUUCCCUGCCUCAUCAUCGAACUAUGCAAGAGGGCAAAUGUUUCCUAAUCAGUGGAGUUGAUAAUGAGGUCCCGACACUGCACAAAUAGGAUAUUGAGAAGAUGAAAGAUGAGUCGAGGUUCGAUUUGACAACCAACCGGCCUCCAGUUCAGCAGACUCAGUCCUCCCCGGUACCCGAAUCAUCAAAUUUUCCUGCAGGUAUGCCCAUGCCUCUGACUGUUUAUGCACCUCCGACCACCUCUACAGGCUCAGCUUCCAUGCCAAUGGGCGGGACCCCAGAUUCUACAUCUAUCCCACCCCUACCUUCUGAGUACAGGCUGAACCCUGACAACUUCGCAAAGACUGUGAAGACCAUCAAAAAGGUGGAAAAACAGAUAGUACUUUGGGAAAAGAUUUCAAACCCUUCGUGGAGAAAAUUAUUGCUGAUGCAUUGCGGCCGUUUCAAAAUAUCCAACUUCGAAUGGAUAAUAUGGAGGAUCGGAUAAACGAAAAGAUAGAUGCUAUGUCCGUUCCAGAUUUUGCCAAAUUGAUUGAAGAAGUCAUUGACUCCGGGCAGACUUCGAUAGGAUACAACAGCAACCACAGUAGCCCGACUUUGAUCCAGUCCAGGUUGUUAGUGAUAAGGACGAGGGUUUUAUUGAUAUUUUUGGGCAUCUGAUCAAAGACAAAGGUAAACAGGCAGCGGUGACAGAUGAGAAUGCUGAAAGGGCAGCUACAAAAGCUGCUAAGAAAGAAGGAAACACAUAAUGGAGACCAUGUCACCUCAGAAGCUCGAGGAAUUUCAGAUGCAGCGGGCAGCCAAGAAGUCAAAGAAAACAGCAGCAAAAGAAGAGAAAAGGCUACAGGAUGAAGCAGCUAGCGUAUCCACAAGUGCUGCCCUAGUUAGAGGGCAGAUUUCAGACCCAGCUAGAGUUGAGAUACCUCCAACCAUGGAGGGUGAGAUUGUGAGUACUCCCACAACCAUGGGGGUUAACGUUGUACCUAGCGAGGCCACUGGAGCCUCACCACACUUGACAGAUGCCUCAGAUGAAUAAGAGGCGCACCACAAGAAAAAAUCUAAGUGGGAUGAAUUACUUAGGAAAAUGGGAAAAAUUAAGAGGAAAGUAGUUGUGACGAUGUGAGCAACAGAAUGUCGCUCAUGUGACGGACAGUCGGUCGGUACCGUCGCCAAGAAGCAGAAGACCAGGCCACUGGAAUCAUGCAAUGGUCCCAUCCGAUGGACCAUCAGACAUUCGACGGACCGUUGAAAGACACCGUCGUUGCUAAGCAAAAGAUAAAAGUAUUGGAACUCUGCGAUGGUAGCCAGUGAUGAACCAUCGGACAUGCGACGUACCGUUAGUGUGCACCAUCGUUGCCAAGUAGUAAGCAUCAGCACUGGAACUUUUCGACGGUCCCAAGCGACGUACCGUCAUCUAUACAACGGACCGCCGACCUUCACCGUUGUACAUGAUGCGGUAAUCUCAAUUUUAAAUUCUGAAACCCUGGGCUCUGAAGACCUAUAAAUAUUAAGUGAUAGGGUUUAUUUUGUAUCUUAUCUUAGAUUUGAGAGAUACAUUUUCAGAUCUAGUUCUCUAUCUUUCAUUUUUAUCUUGUUUUCUAGUUCAUUGUAACUGAGCAUAUUGUGGGAAAUGAGCAUUAGUUUUUUGUUUCAAUCAUUUCAUUCUUAUUGAAGAUUCAAGAACACAUUCUUGUAACCGUUGUAAGUAAACUUUGAUUUUCUUAUGAACAAUACAAUGAUGUUUUCUAGUUCUUUCAUGGAAA